CAAUAAAGGUUGAUGAUUAUUGUCUGUACACAAUUGCAUAUGCAUUUGAAUAUUAUAAAUAACUUGCCUUGCAGAUUUGCAGAUGUUUAUUGUAAAUAGUUUUGAUAAUCCAAAAAUCCCUGGAAUAUCUUGUUGCUCAUGCAGAUAACAGAUAAUAUUAAAGCUGAGAAGUUACGUUAUUAAUUGCAGAGUAUUUAAUUUCUCUCAUAAUGGAAAUAAUUAAUACAUUUAGCUGAAAAGCUUUAUUGAUGCACAUUUCCAAGCUUUUUCAAAUAAUGUGUCAGGCCAAUUCUGGCCCCUGGUUUGACACCUGUGGCCUAAAUUAAACGUUUUCAUGCAUAAGAACUGCUACAUGAACUAAAAAUUGUUACCAUCUGUUAUGCCAAGUCAUUCUUUAUUUAGGGGUGUUUUUCCCGGGUUGUUGGUUCAUUUCCUGCUUUUAUUUUGUUUCCACGUCCUGUUUUGUGUGUGUCGUCCCUGCAGCAGCUUCACCCCUGCUGCUUGGUGAUUAUGUGUUGCACCUGGGCACUAUUCAAGAGUCUGGCUUGAAUGUGGGUGUGGGAUCAUUGUUUGGAGAUUGUUGGAGUUAUGUGCACGGCAGUAAAACAGCUGAUCAAACAAAACAGAAGUCAUCGUCAUGGACCCACUAGCUGCGGAAGCUAGCUCUCCAAUCAGCUAAACAGACUCGAGGACUCCACGGUGACGUCUUGCUGUGAAGGUCUUCCCUUCCGGGGUCCGACGGACCAGUGUGACCACAACACUUUGAGACGUGGAUCUUUAACAGGAGAGUUUUUUAUUUUUCGUUUGUUGUCGUUUUUCAAGGUUCUUCUUUUUGCUUUUCAGCAAUCUGGUUUUGUUAUCAAAGUUUCUUCUUUGCUUUUUCAGCCUCUCUGUCUCUCCUGCUCCCACGUUCUCCUCCCCUCAUGGUCUCCGGCGCUGCUAAUAAAGGGAACAGGUGAUUAGAUAACUCGUUUCAGCUGAGAUUAUCCACUCACCUGUUGGCUGCUUCACCAGGCCCGCAGGGAACGCGUGACCACGCCCCUCCCCAGCAUAUUAACUAAUGCUAAUGAUUAAAGUAGCACGUGAAAAAAAAUGCAUGAAAACACUUAGUAAGAAUAGUUUUGGUUCUACUGGAAAAGUUACAAACAUGGCUUGGAUUGAUGAAUGAAGAAUCCAUAUGAGUAAAAACGCUAUGGAAGGCUCGAAGACAAAACGGCAAUUGUACUUCCGGUUCAUGGCUCAGUCUGAACAGAAUGCAGUGAGCGAACUCGUCCAAAAGAUGGCGCCAUAGCACAAACAGCUAUUCAGUGUGUUUACUUGUUCUUAAAAAAUUAUAUUUACAUUAUGCCCGUCAAAGAAUUAAUCAGCCGCACCGUUCUAUACGCCGUAGAUUUCAAAGGCUAGGAAAAAAGUAGCAGCUCUUAGUCCGUAAUUGACGGUACUGGCUCUAAUUAGCUUCGUUAAAAGCCCACAGAUGCAAAUGUCCAAUUAACAGCUGGGUAUUCUCGUUAAAGCCAAAUCUGUCCUCCAAACGAAGGAGCAAAGUAGGGCAAACAGUCCGUGGUUCAGCUGGUAGAGAAAGAGGAAUUCGUCCUUUUGAUAAGAUUCUCAGACGUCCUGCCGCUCGAGCAAAUGUCAUGAAAUGUCAGCUGUCUGUUGUUGACGUGACGGCACACACUUAUUGCCAGUCGCACCUUAAAAUGUUGGCCUUAAAAGGUCUCGGAAGGAGAAUAGCAGGCCUGAUUAAAAUGUUAAUCCAGCACUCAGCCAAUCAAAAGGCAGAGAGUCGUCUAAUCUUGCUAUGAAUUAAUCAUUUCAUCACAUGUAGCCUAUUUUUCAAAUUUUCUCCCUCCCCCCAACGUGACCCCAAAGGAAAUAAGCGGUAGGAAAUGGAUGGACUUGGCAACACUCCCGAAAUUCAUCGCCUCUCCCGGAAACCUCCCGGGACAAAUUUUCUCCUGAAAAUUUCCCGAAAUUCAGGCGUAGCUGGAGGCCACGCCCCCUCCAGCUCCAUGAGAACCUGACUCAGCAAUGUUGUGACCCUCUUAAACAGGACAAUACUGCCAUCUACUGUGCAUAGAAUAGAAUACAUACUUGCCAAACCGCCCGGAUUUUCAUGAACGGUCAGCGAAGCACAAAGCGUCCGCAGAGCAGCAUCGUUCACGACCCAGUAUUAUGGGCCACCUCGCAAAAUGGAGACCCGAUGGUGUAACUUAUGCUGAGACAAAGAUGGCUAUGCUGAUAGCUGGAAGUUACAUUCCGUUCUCAUUUGCGAAUGUCUACAACAAAUCCAUGAUAUAUGUUCCCGGAUUCGGAGAUCGCUCGCAAAUACGCAAAUGCCAGAACAAAGGUUACUCAAAUAGUGAAAGGUAAGCGAUGUUGUUGUUGUUUUUUUAGUAACCAGCAGGCACAGUAUAGUUAGCAGAACAACUGUGUUUUUAUUACUGUGUAUUUGAUAGGUGCCGUCGGAAGUUCAACUACCGUAUUUCCUUGAAUAGCCGCCGGGGCGCUAAUUAAUUUAAAACCUCUUCUCACUCCUGCGCUUAUUCAAGGCAUGCGGUAAAAGUAAGCAGGCGCUAAUAAUUUUAAAACUUCUUCUCCCCCUGCGCUUAACAAUGACAUGCAGUAAAAAAUUGAGUGUGAUAUAAAAAAAGGAAAUAAAUUAUAAAUAAUUAUUCUGCGGCCGCGGCCCGGUGGUUGGGGACCACUGUUCUACAACAUGUCAUUACGCCCACCUUUACACCAUUCUUUCUGCGUGCCGGUCGCAAGCAUGCACAUCGCUGCUUUCUCAUACGAGAUUGCAAUGCAUAGUUGAUCA